ACGUAGGGUGCAAGCGUUGUCCGGAUUUAUUGGGUUUAAAGGGUGCGUAGGCGGCCUGUUAAGUCAGUGGUGAAAUCCAACAGCUCAACUGUUGAUGUGCCAAUGAUACUGACGGGCUUGAGUACAGACGAGGUAGGCGGAAUUGACAGUGUAGCGGUGAAAUGCAUAGAUAUUGUCAAGAACACCGAUAGCGAAGGCAGCUUGCUAGCCUGUAACUGACGCUGAGGCACGAAAGUGUGGGGAUCAAACAGG
rnacentral:rRNA from 1 species